GUUAUGCUGCCUGGAGUCUUUGUGAGAGGAUUUUCAGAUGUUGUUCAGGGAUUGAUUUGUGGUCAGAGGUGAGUUGGUAGGAGACAUGCAUUCUUUGGGUCCCAAGAAGUCUUUUGGAAAGAGGAAAUUAUCCUUCUUCUUCAAGCUUGGAGGCAGGAAAAAACCGCCUCAAGAUGGUGUGGACCGCCUCAAGAUGGCGAUGGUGAGGCCAGCCUCAAGCCCGAGUCAUGGGACCUGCACCAUGUGAACUGUAAAAUGCCUGCGCCAUUGCCUGUGCCAUGUGAAAUGUAAAAUGCCCAUACCAUGUGAAACUCCUCUGCCAUGCGCCACUUCAAUCCUCAGGCUUCACUCUUAGGCGGACCUGUCAGGUGUCAUGCAAUCAUGUAAGUGAUUACUGAUUGGCUACUGUUACUACGUGCGCCUAGCUCUGAUUGGGUGCCCUGCGCCAGUGUGGGGUUCCGCCGUACCAAUAAAGCUGGCAGGGCAGCCCAGGAUUGGGGCGCUGCAGUCACUUGCACCCCAUCGGGGUGAACGGGCUGCUUGCCGCUUUCCCACUGUCCUCUUCUUUGACCAGUUCUUUCGGAGUCUUUCGUCUCUUCAUCGACUAAAUGAACCCUCCCUAAAUUUGUCUAAUUUUAGACAGCUUAGACCCAC
rnacentral:lncRNA from 1 species